GUAGGAGCAUUGCUAGUAGAUCGAGGGACAUGAUCAUUCCCCUCUAUUCGACAUUGUCAAGAGGUAGGAGAUCACAGGCUUGGAUUGGCAGUGGAGAAGGAAAGGUCAUGGCUGGUAUUUGAUAUGUGAAGUCAUGGACCUAGAGCUGGGGGAAAGGGGAACACAAGGCAAAAUGGAUGGAGAAAGGAAAGAUAACAGUGGACCAGCUGUAGGAAAAAGAAGAGGAAGGUCUUAAUGCCUAGGAAAGGCUCAUUCACCUCUGGUCAUGGAGAAAGUGUGAAUGUCCAGGACAGGACAAGAUCAUUGGCAUAGCUCUCUGGAAGCUCACAUUGUAAUAAACAGGACUGAAGA